CCACACUGAUCAAGCAACCCUACUUGUCCAAUUGAGGGCGAAAUGAGAUGAUUUCUAUCAUAUUUUCAGUGUAGUUUUUAGGAUUAUGCUCUGCCAGCAAUUCUGGAUUGCCAUAUGGCUGUGCCAUGUGCCAUGUUGAAGUGUCACCACUCACCACCAUUUUAAGUGGUGAACUAUAUGAAUCUACCCUUCUAGGUGGUGAUGCAUGAUGCAUCUUUUUGGUUUCACUGGUGCUAAUGGUUUAGCAAAUCCACAUCUAAGUCUCAUCCUUUUAUAGAUUGUCAGAUUCUAGUUUUUUUUUUUUCAAAUGUUAUUUUUUUUUCUUUUAAUUGUUGUUGUCAUUUUGUGGUGGAGCUUUUUCUGUUUUUGAAUUGUUAGUAGUGCUUUGAACUCGGAUACUGUUUCAUUUUCAUUUCUCUAAUAAUGUUUCUUAUCAGGUAUGAAAAUACUGUGUAUUUUCUUUUUAAUAUAAUUGUGCAUGUUUCUGAAUGGAGCUUGCACUUGUUGGUAUGAGGUGGUUUUGGUUCGCCCUCGAAAAAGGUGGGACUACGGUUUUUUUGCUUCUUUUACCAAUACAUUUUCUUUUGGCAACAUGUAUCCAAUCACCAGUGUAGUCUCUAACAUGCAUUUGAAUUUUUGGCUGGAAAAUUUUCUUCCUGCAACUUUGCACGCUGAGUAAUCGACCUCAGUUCGAGCUCUCCAGUUAGGCAGCAAUGUAGCAGUUUGUCCUCCAUGCUUGAUUAAGAAACACAUCAUUUGCAGUUUUUCUUUCAAAAGAAUAGAGAGAGCCAAAAGACUUCCUGGUGACCCAUGGGCUGAGUUAUGUCUAUUCCUAACAGAGCGAGCCAAAAGACCUCAAGUAGCCCAAAGGCCUAAUGACUAGGCACAUCCAAGCCUACCAUUCUUGGAUAUGUACUUCUCAUAAUCCAAGCACAUAAAAAGAGCUUGCGGCCGGCAUUGCCAUGCGAGAAGUCGUUGUGUGAGAAAGGUGGCCAAGCUCUAUUGUUUUACAGUGGAAUCUUCUUAAUGGUGUUGGGAGUGGGUGGGAUUCGAGGGGCACUUCCACCUCUAGGUGCAGAUCACUUUAACCAAAAGGAUUCCAAGGAGCUUUUUUUUUUUCUCUCGAUAGCAGGUACAUUUUUUAAAGAAAGCUCAGGGUCUGUCUUCU